rnacentral:lncRNA from 10 species
AAAUUGUGAAACAGUAGGUUCAGUUUGAUAUUGUUUAUAUAAAGUAAAACCAGAACACAUUUCAAUAUGAAAAUAUAAAGCAUAAAAGUAGCCGUAGAAAAAGAUCUGAAAGGAAAAACCCAGACUGAGAACAGCGUUACCUUAGGGAAACCUCAGGAAAACUGAGUUGGAAUGUUAGAAGUGGGACAUGAGAGUCUUUAAUUUUGUCUAUAUCAUUUGAAUGUCUUACAAUGAUAAUGGAUUCAUACAUCAUUUGUAUGAUUUAAAAAAAAAUGAUUUAAAAUAAGAAAAAGAAGAGAAAAUCAAAUUUGUCAAAAAAAAAAAAAAAAAACCACACACACACACACAGCCUGACACUUAUGCAGGAAAAGACAGUUUGGAGGGGAAGCAAAGCCUCCUGUGGCCUCAGCAGCUGCUCAGGACAGCCAUCCUCCAUGUGACGAUUCUAUGAUCCACAUAGCCACAGUCUGCGGCACCACCAUGUCAACAUGGGCUUCCAGGACCCCUGCAAAAAGGAGAGAGAGAGGAUGGCUUUUCAGAGCUUCCACUCGGAAGUGAGACGCAUCAUUGACAACCAAAUCAACUCAGAUGUCCCCACCUAACUUGGGGUGGGGAAGAGGGCAGGCCUGCAGUCCCUCCAUGUGCUCAAAAUACUGCUGAAGAGUGAUGGUGUUCACUACACACACCUCAUCCACAAGCACCACAGACAGACAAAACAGAAUCAAAAUGUAGACGAAUAGGGAUUAUACUCUAAAAUGAGCAAUU